rnacentral:rRNA from 1 species
UUCCUACGGAGGCAGCAGUGGGGAAUCUUGCACAAUGGACGAAAGUCUUGAUGCAGCAACGCCGCGUGGGGGAUGAAGCUUUUCGGAGUGUAAACCCCUUUCGACCCGGAAGAAAGCCCGCAAGGGUUUGACGGUACGGGUAUAAGAAGCCCCGGCUAACUCUGUGCCAGCCGCCGCGGUAAUAC